rnacentral:rRNA from 1 species
UACGGGGGGGGGCAAGCGUUGUUCGGAAUUACUGGGCGUAAGGGCUCGUAGGCGGCCAACUAAGUCAGACGUGAAAUCCCCAGGCUCAACCUGGGAACUGCGUCUGAUACUGGAUGGCUUGAAUCCGGGAGAGGGAUGCAGAAUUCCAGGUGUAGCGGUGAAAUGCGUAGAUAUCUGGAGGAAUACCGGUGGCGAAGGCGGCAUCCUGGACCGGCAUUGACGCUGAGGAGCGAAAGCCAGGGGAGCAAACGGG